UACGGAGGGGGCUAGCGUUGUUCGGAAUUACUGGGCGUAAAGCGCGCGUAGGCGGCUUUGUAAGUUAGAGGUGAAAGCCCGGAGCUCAACUCCGGAAUUGCCUUUGAUACUGAAGAUCUUGAGUUCGGGAGAGGUGAGUGGAACUGCGAGUGUAGAGGUGAAAUUCGUAGAUAUUCGCAAGAACACCAGUGGCGAAGGCGGCUCACUGGCCCGAUACUGACGCUGAGGCACGAAAGCGUGGGGAGCAAACAGG
rnacentral:rRNA from 1 species